GACGAACGCUGGCGGCGUGCUUAACACAUGCAAGUCGAACGGAAAGGCCCUGCUUUUGUGGGGUUCUCGAGUGGCGAACGGGUGUGUAUCACGUGAGUAACCUGCCCCUUACUUUGGGAUAACUUCAGUAAACUGGGGCUCAUAUCCGAUAUGAGCUCUUUCUGCAUGGUGUGGGUUUGAAAGUUUCGGCGUUUGGGGAUGGACUCGAGGCCUAUCAGUUUGUUGGUGGGGUAGUGGCUUACCAAGGCAUUGACGAGUAGCCCGACUGAGAGGGUGACCGGCCACAUUGGGACUGAGAUACGGCCAAGAGUCAUACGGGAGGAAGCAGUGGGGAAUAGUGCACAAUGGGCGGAAGCAUGAUGCAGGAACGCCGCGUGCGAGAUGACGGCCUUCGGGUUGUAACCCGCGUUCGCCUGUGACGAAGCGUGAGUGACGGUAAUGGGUAAGGAAGCAACGGCUAACUACGUG
rnacentral:rRNA from 1 species